AUUGAACGCUGGCGGCAGGCUUAACACAUGCAAGUCGAACGAGUGGCGGACGGGUGAGUAAUGUUUGGGAAUCUAGCUUAUGGAGGGGGAUAACUACGGGAAACUGUAGCUAAUACCGCGUACCAUAGGAGGAGCCCAAGUGGGAUUAGGUAGUUGGUGAGGUAAAGGCUCACCAAGCCGACGAUCUCUAGCUGGUCUGAGAGGAUGACCAGCCACACUGGGACUGAGACACGGCCCAGACUCCUACGGGAGGCAGCAGUGGGGAAUAUUGGGCAAUGGGGGAAACCUGAUGCAGCCAUGCCGCGUGAAUGAAGAAGGCCUUCGGGUUGUAAAGUUCUUUUGGUAGCGAGGCGGUAACUACAGAAGAAGCACCGGCUAACUCCGUGCCAGCAGCCGCGGUAAUAC
rnacentral:rRNA from 1 species